AUCGGGGCACUAGGGCACACGUUUUAUGGACCCGGGUCGACAACGUGCUCAGGUGGAAGAAAGGCGCAGGGAACAGGCGCGAACUCCGAAAAGGCGAGGCGGGGCGGGGCGGUGCUGCAAGCGCCCGAGCACCUCACAGCCCUCCCCCUAGCCCGACAGAGCAGUACAGUCCCAGCCCUCCCAGGAGGACGCCCGCACUUACCGGCCCCUCAUCUCCACGCCGGGACGGCCCACCCAGGGCCCCUCCUCUUCGCGCCGUCGGCGACCCUGGGACGGACCCCUCCCCCCACUAGUGCCGCGACAGCCAUUUUGUGGCCGUUCCCCACGGCCACGUCACGCGCCGUGCGUGCGACCGCUCCGCGACGUGCCCGGCCCCGCCCCGCGCCGCUCCGCGCCUGCGCAGUGGAGGCGGCGGCGGCCGAGCCGGGCAGGCUGAGCAGCGUCGCGGCGGCGGAGACAAAGCGCCGGCUGAUGAAUGGGGCGGCCCGGCCCGACCCGUCCCCGGAACCCCUUCGGGCGCGGCCGGGCGGGCGAGCCUGCUGCCCCUUACUGCUGCUUGUGCACAAGUGCCAGGGAAACUGCACAAGAGGGGCAAACUCCUCAUUUUUAUCCCCUGACCAGCAUGAGGCGAUACAAUUUGAGUUUGGCUAUUUCCUGAAUUGA
rnacentral:lncRNA from 1 species